GACGAACGCUGGCGGCGUGCCUAAUACAUGCAAGUUGAGCGCUGAAGGUUGGUACUUGUACCAACUGGAUGAGCAGCGAACGGGUGAGUAACGCGUGGGGAAUCUGCCUUUGAGCGGGGGACAACAUUUGGAAACGAAUGCUAAUACCGCAUAAAAACUUUAAACACAAGUUUUAAGUUUGAAAGAUGCAAUUGCAUCACUCAAAGAUGAUCCCGCGUUGUAUUAGCUAGUUGGUGAGGUAAAGGCUCACCAAGGCGAUGAUACAUAGCCGACCUGGGAGGGUGGUCGGCCACAUUGGGACUGAGACACGGCCCCAACUCCUACGGGAGGCAGCAGUAGGGAAUCUUCGGCAAUGGACGAAAGUCUGACCGAGCAACGCCGCGUGAGUGAAGAAGGUUUUCGGAUCGUAAAACUCUGUUGGUAGAGAAGAACGUUGGUGAGAGUGGAAAGCUCAUCAAGUGACGGUACCUACCCAGAAAGGGACGGCUAACUACGUG
rnacentral:rRNA from 1 species